GUAAAUGGACUUACCACCAUGGUCACGCCCGAUCUCGUUUGAUUUCAGAAGCUAAGCAUGGUCGGGCCUGGUUAGUACAUGGAUGGGAGACCACCUGGGUAAACCAGGUGCUGUAAGUG
ensembl:rRNA 5S_rRNA 5S ribosomal RNA